rnacentral:rRNA from 1 species
UCCUCCCUCUUUCUUCGUGCUUAACACAUGCAAGUCGAACGGAAAGGCCCUGCUUUUGUGGGGUGCUCGAGCGGCGAACGGGUGAGUAACACGUGAGUAACCUGCCCUUGACUUUGGGAUAACUUCAGGAAACUGGGGCUAAUACCGGAUAGGAGCUCCUGCUGCAUGGUGGGGGUUGGAAAGUUUCGGCGGUUGGGGAUGGACUCGCGGCUUAUCAGCUUGUUGGUGGGGUAGUGGCUUACCAAGGCUUUGACGGGUAGCCGGCCUGAGAGGGUGACCGGCCACAUUGGGACUGAGAUACGGCCCAGACUCCUACGGGAGGCAGCAGUGGGGAAUAUUGCACAAUGGGCGGAAGCCUGAUGCAGCAACGCCGCGUGCGGGAUGACGGCCUUCGGGUUGUAAACCGCUUUCGCCUGUGACGACGCGUGAGUGACGGUAAUGGGUAAAGAAGCACCGGCUAACUACGUG